CAGCACACUCCCCUCCUGAAAAUGGGCUGGACAAGGCCCGUAGCCUGAAAAAAGAUGCCCCCACCAGCCCCGCCUCGGUGGCCUCUUCCAGUAGCACACCUUCCUCCAAGACCAAAGACCUUGGUCAUGUAUGUGGGGUCUGGGUGGAAGGGAGUGGGAAGGGAGCGGCAGGGACCGGAGCUGGGGUGGUGCCGAUUGGCAGGCAGAGGGGUGGAGUGGAAGAAGCUGGAUGGGUGAUUGGCCCCGGUUUACCUCCUGUGCCUGCUGGGCCUGUGCUAAUGAGUUAACAUUUCUGAGCCUCGGUUGCUAUGUCUGUAAAAUGGGAGUGAUCACCCCAGUCCCUGCCAAACAAGGUUGGGCAAGGAUUGAGAGGCUGUUCAGCAGAAGCUUCAAAAGGGGCUAGCUCUGCGCUUCACAUUGGGACCGGCACCAGUUGUGCCCGGCUCCUAGGAGAAUGGAAGUCUCAUGGCCUCCCUUGUUCUGCAUCUCCUCUCUUCAGAAUGACAAAUCCUCCACCCCUGGGCUCAAGUCCAACACACCAACCCCGAGGAACGACGCCCCAACUCCAGGCACCAGCACGACCCCAGGGCUCAGGUCGAUGCCGGGUAAACCUCCGGGCAUGGACCCGAUAGGUAUAAUGGGUAGGCACCAUGGGCUGGGUUAAUCUGAUUGGGGGGAGGGGGUCUGCCCCUGGCCAGGGCAGGGGUGACACACACACAUGGGAUAGAGCACAGGCAGUGUCUCCCAGGGCCUGCCCUUGGGGACUUCGCGGUCAGAUUUGAGGAGGUGAUGCCAGGGUUUCUGGGGCCCCUGCUGGGCCAGACAUGAAAGCAGCAUCAGACAGGUCAGGGCUCCCAAGAUCUGUUCCCACCCCUGUCGUUAGUCCAAUAAGGCUCUAAGCAAGCCCGUUUGGGCCUCCAUGUCCUGCUCUGUAAAAAGAGGUGGGUGCAUCUGCCAAGCUCUAAGCUUCUUUGGCUCUGAAGGCAGGGAUCCCAGUGGGUGGGUUCAGUCUGAGAGGGCUGCCUGGAGCAGGCAGCUUAAGAAUGCAGGGAGGGUUAUUGCUGGGUGAGGUGGCCAUGGCCAUGUCCCAAUCCCCCGAAGGCCCACCUCCCUGACACCCAUCCCUUGCAGCCUCGGCUCUGCGCACGCCCAUCUCCAUCACCAGCUCCUAUGCGGCGCCCUUCGCCAUGAUGAGCCACCACGAGAUGAACGGCUCCCUCACCAGUCCUGGCGCCUACGCCGGCCUCCACAACAUCCCACCCCAGAUGAGCGCCGCCGCCGCUGCUGCAGCCGCUGCCUACGGCCGAUCGCCAAUGGUUGGUUUUGACCCUCACCCCCCAAUGCGGGCCACAGGCCUCCCCUCAAGCCUGGCCUCCAUUCCUGGAGGAAAACCGUAAGCUUUGGCUAUACUUACUGCAUGCUUUGUAGGGUUGGCAGGAGAGAGCACUCUACCCCCUCUUCCAAGAAUGCCCCUCAUCACCUGACCAAGGGUUUGCCCUGGUGCAUGUCCCUUUGGAAAGGUAUCUGUCCGUCUAGAGGCACUGAGGGCUGGUUGCAACCCUAGGAAACUGUAGCCAAGCCACACUUCUGAGCACCCACAGAAGCUCCCUCCAACAGAGGAGCCAUGGGGUCAGCUAAGUACAUGGCCACCGAGCUGGGAGAGAAGGAACACUCCUCACCGAGUCACCUGGAGCUGUGGUGGGCCUUGCCGACUCCUCUGGGUUCGACCUGCUGGGAAGGCCCCAGUGCCGUUGGUCACAGGCCCUUCUCUGUCAGCAGUGCUUCCCUCCCCUGGAGGGCACACUCGCCCCAGCCCUUCACUUCCUUGGGUUGCUAGGAAACUAAAAGAUUGAGCCUACAGAUAAUGCCGAGACACUGCCUGACACAAUCCUCUAAUUGUCCACGAGAAUCUAGAUGCUGAUUGGGAGGGCACCCACCAGAGCCUGAAACAGCAGGCAGGCCAGGCUGGCUCCCCACCGGCUCUGACACGCACUUUCCCAUUUGCUAUUGGAGGGGCAAGCAGAUCCCUUCCCUAAUACUACCGGCUCCUAAAGCAAGAGGUGGCAUUUCAGCCAGGCCCUUUCCAGGGUUGGCAUGUUGGGGGAAUGUAUGGAUCGUGGGAAAGGGCAUUCCAGGACACCUGUGGGUUUCUGGUCUGAUUUGUAGCAAGAAUAUAUAACCGGGUGUAAAAAUCAAAGCUGGUCUGUUAAUCACUCUCCACCCUGAUGGAGCCAUCCCAGUACAUGGGGUUACUGGGUUCGAAAGGUUUCAGAGCAGAGGGGCCUGGAGGCAGGGCAGCCAGUUGGGGGUGGUGCAGGUGACCUGGCCCAGGCCUGUGGGAACUCUGAGGGGCCGAGGUGGAUGGCAGCAGUGACAGUUCUCACCUUUUCAGAGCGUACUCAUUCCAUGUGAGCGCUGAUGGGCAGAUGCAGCCCGUGCCCUUCCCCCACGACGCCCUGGCAGGCCCCGGCAUCCCGAGGCACGCCCGGCAGAUCAACACACUCAGCCACGGGGAGGUGGUGUGUGCCGUGACCAUCAGCAACCCCACGAGGCACGUCUACACAGGUGGCAAGGGCUGCGUGAAGAUCUGGGACAUCAGCCAGCCAGGCAGCAAGAGCCCCAUCUCCCAGCUGGACUGCCUGGUGAGAAUCCCAGGGCCACCGCACCUCCUCCAGCUGGUGUAGGAGGAUGGGGCAGCCUGGGCCACAGGGGAGAGCCCCAGGGCCCGGCUCAGCAUCGUAUUGGCUGAGCAACUUUAGGCAAGCUGACUAACCUCUCUGAGCCUCAGUUGUGCUUUCUGUGUGUGGGGCUGAUACCUCCUGGUAUUCAUGAAAGAUCAAAGGGUUGUGAAUUUGAGGAAUGGGGACAGCCUGGCAGCUGCUGGGUAUAGGGGAGGCUGUAAGCAGGACUGGUGAGGGUGGUCGGUGUUGCUGGACAGGACUCUCCUGGUGCCCAGGAGGGGAAGUAGGCAGCACUCGGCCCUGCCCCUUCUCCCUCCAGAACAGGGACAAUUACAUCCGCUCCUGCAAGCUGCUCCCUGACGGGCGCACGCUCAUCGUGGGCGGCGAGGCCAGCACGCUCACCAUCUGGGACCUGGCCUCGCCCACGCCCCGCAUCAAGGCCGAGCUGACGUCCUCGGCUCCUGCCUGUUACGCCCUGGCCAUCAGCCCUGACGCCAAAGUCUGCUUCUCCUGCUGCAGCGAUGGGAACAUUGCUGUCUGGGACCUGCACAACCAGACCCUGGUCAGGUGAGCCGGCAGGAGAGGGAGCAUUAGUGCCUCGUCCUGGGGAAGUUUUUACCCAUCCUGCCUGGUCUUGUUUGCUGUGACCUUGGCCCUGUCUGAGGCACUGUGGGGUGGCCAGAACUGUUGGGAUGAGGGAUGCAGAGGUGAAAAGACAGCUCCGCCUGCCUUAUUCGAGGGACAGAGGAGGGAGGGCCAUUGGGCCCAGGAGCUUGGAGAAGGCUCUGGGAAGAAAGUGGAGCUGGAGCAUGUCUGGGAAAGUGGAGGUCAGAUUAGUGGAGCGAGCAAAGAGGCUGGGAGCAGAGGCCCAGAGACCAGAUGAGGGAGACCCGACUGGGAAGCCACAUCACGUAGUGGCUAAACAAGCCUCAGGACAAAACUGCUGGGUUUGAAUCCUGCCUCCACUAUGACCUAGUGCAAGUCGCUGAACCCCUGCGGCUCAGUUUCUUCCUGUGUAAAACAGUGACAGCGGAGCAUCUUCCUCUGACUGUGCCGCAGUGCAAAGGCAGACGGGUGCCUGGCCCAGCUGACUCUUGUAUACAUGGGCUGUGUGUGUUAUUCAGCGUGUUCAUGGAUGGCCUCAGCCCCAUAGUUCAUGCAGGGUGAAGAGAUAGAUUAAGAGGGCAAAUUGAGGGCGCGUGGAGUGUGAGCUAAGGAGCUGUGUCCUAAAGGCAGUGGGGCCCUGCAUUCUCUUUAUCAGUCAUCUCACGUGUAGCUUCCCCAGGGCCUUCCUGCCUUCCUCACCUUCCUGAGCCUCCAGCUCCACCUCCUCCAGAGGCCCACCCUGGAGGGAUUCAGUCUCAGAAGGCUGGUGGGAGGUCCCCUUUUCACCCCCCUGCCACCCCUCCAUUUCCCAGGGGACUUGUCCCUGGUUGGAAAGAGGCUGGGGCUAGCUUUGCUGCAAGCUCACUAAGGGACCAUGCGCAUAGUGCACUCUUCUGGGCCUUAGUUUCCUCUUCUGCUCAGACUGCCCCUGGGAUGGCUGCCACCUAGCAGUCUGUGGUUCCUGGGACUCACCCUUCUCCCUGCUUGGCUUUCGUAGGCAGUUCCAGGGCCACACGGAUGGGGCCAGCUGCAUAGACAUCUCCCAUGAUGGCACCAAACUGUGGACAGGGGGCCUGGACAACACGGUGCGCUCCUGGGACCUGCGGGAGGGCCGGCAGCUACAGCAGCAUGACUUCACUUCCCAGGUGUGCGGCCCGAGACUCCUCCCUUCCCAAAGAGCAGUGUAUUCCCUCCCUCCGGGGCCCCAGUGGCUGGGUCAGGGACAAAGGGACCCUCACAGAGUGGCCACUGCCAAGAGACUUGGGACCAACCUGAGCCAUCUGGGAAGGCUUCCUGGAGGAAGCAGCAGUGAAACAGAUGGAGAUGACCUUGGGGUUGGACACAUUUGGCCCAACUGUGGAAAUUCGAUUCAUUCUCUGCUGCUAUUGAGCACUUUGUCCUUGGCGUCCUCAUUCACAAGAUGGAAAUAAUAGUAGCACCCUCCUACAUCUGAUGUGGGCACCUGAAUUGAUCCCUCUAAAAGCCAUAGCCAUAAACCCAACUCACAGAAAGCAUUCAGUAAAUGCCAGGGAUUAUUAUUUCUUAUUUGCAUUCCUCACUUUAAUAUUUUAAUCUUAAAUAUUUAAUAUUUUAGUGGGUUUUUUUUUAACUCACUUUUUUCUUAAGGAAAGACAAAAGUCUCAGAGACAGAGUAACUGAAUGCAAAAUGUCUGUGCUUUCUCAUCUAUAAAAUGGGGAUGGAAAAUGACCUCCCAUACUCCUGGGUUAUUGGGUAGGUGGGGAGGGACCCUGAGCCUCAGAGGACCUGAGCAGCACCUUUGGGAGCCGCCGUCCUCUUGAGGGCAGAGAAUGCUGAGCUCAGUCCAUCUCCCCUCCCACCACCUGCAGAUCUUCUCGCUGGGCUAUUGCCCCACUGGGGAGUGGCUGGCCGUGGGCAUGGAGAGCAGCAACGUGGAGGUGCUGCACCACACCAAGCCUGACAAGUACCAGCUGCACCUGCACGAGAGCUGCGUGCUCUCCCUCAAGUUCGCCUACUGUGGCAAGUGGUUCGUGAGCACUGGGAAAGAUAACCUUCUCAACGCCUGGAGGACACCUUACGGAGCCAGCAUAUUCCAGGUACUGCCCACCAUCUGAGUCCUCCUCUGGGUUCCACCCAGAGUUGAAACUUGGCGGUGGUGAUGGGAGUGAGGAUAGCAGGAGGAAGAACAGGAGGAGCCUGGAGCCAGGAUCAGACCUGCCCUGGUCCCCUCCCCACCCCUACCUGAUGGGGGAGCAAGAUGGGUUCUCCCAAGGACCUGGGAACUUCAGCAGGACACACAAUCUGCUACUGAUGGCUUCUGACCCCCGAGGGCAAGGGCUUGUAAGCCGAGGCGCUUGUCGAGGAAUAGCGUAAAUGUUUUUGCUCUGGGCUGGAUGCUGAGCACCUGCAGGAGGUGCGCUGGGCAGCUGGGCACCUGGCAGCCUUGCCCAGAGCAGUGUUCCCUCCUUAAGUGAGUGAGUGUUUCCACCUGCAUUCAGCACCAGCAGGGACAUGGACAGGAAAGAGAGGAGGAAAGGAAGAGGCUUUUUAUAAUCUACCAGGAUCUGGGGCCUGCCAUACUGCACUGAUUGGCACACACAUGUGUGCACACACACACAUGCACUCUUUCCCACACACGAUCAAACUCACACUCAUUUACUCACUCACACUCAGUCUCCCACACACACUUUCUUCCCCUCUCUCUCUCUCUGGCGCGUCCACACACACACACUUGCGUUCUCUCUCACUCCCUCAGCCAACGUGCCGCUUUCUGGACCCAGGCUGAAAUGUCUGGUGUCCCGCGUGUCAAACCUCAUUGUUAGGGUCUCUAGUUACAGCACAUGCUUCAAACAUCAGGUGGCAAUCCUUUUCCUAACUCACCAGGCUGUGGGCCUGAGCUGCUGACACCAGCUCCUAGCUUGGAAAUGCCUCUUCCUAUUUGUAAACUCGGAGGAGAAGCUCAUGCUAAAGCGUCCUGUUCUGAUCAUUAUGACUUACUUUUGUAAAGAUCACGUGGGAGACUGUUACUGAGCUUUUCCUUAUGGAAAAGCAGGCGGGAGGGGAGCUGUACCUGAAAAUGCUUCAUGGGUGCUUUAAAGCCUCCCCACCUCCUCUUCACCGCACUGUGCUCCAGGUCGGAGCAUCAGAGAGGGACAGAGGAGGGCAAUUGUUGCCGAGAGAAUCGAGAUGGUGUUGGGCACUGGGAAAUGAAUUCCUGUCUUUUUUCUCCCCGCACCCCACGCCUUCCUGCUGCUUCUCCUCGUCUUCCUCCUCCAGUCUAAAGAAUCCUCGUCUGUCUUGAGUUGUGACAUUUCAGCGGAUGACAAAUACAUUGUAACAGGCUCUGGUGACAAGAAGGCCACAGUUUAUGAGGUCAUCUACUAAACAAGAACUCCAGCAGAGCUGUCAAACUCUGGGAGAAACCGACUCGGCUCUGACAGGGAGACCCCCAGGCGAGGGGCCCUGAGGAUGGCGGAGGAUGGGCCGCAAGCAGCCGAGCAUUCGGGGCUGCGCUCCGGCCGGCUGAAAGGGCGCGUGCCCUGUCACGGUCUGGACUCCUGGGCCUGGAUUGAUGUGUCUCACAGACUCGGAAGGGUUCUGCUCCUCCUCCUCCCCCUGAACAAUGCUGGCAGUUGCUACAAAUAGAUUUAUUGGAGACUUAUGGCUCCGGUUCCCCCACAGACCCGCUCAUGAGUCUCUGUUUGUUCUUCCCCUUUCUUUUGCCCUGUCCCCCACCUUGGGUUGGGGGUGCUGGAGUGGACCACAUUGUUGUGCUGGGGGAGGGGGGGUCUCUCUUUGCCGACUGUGCAGUGCACAAGAUUUGUGAAAAAUGUAAAUAACAGACUCCUAUUGCAGACUGAUCAGUGGGAGAGGAGGCCCCUUCCCACCGGAAACUCUGACCAUGUAUUUCGCCUGCUGUAUUUGUAAUCCACUCGUGGUGGUGGCUUUUUUUUUUUUUUUUUUUCUUUUUUAAAUAAACAGAUGUUCUCACCUGGGAAGAGGAGACAGGGAGGGGAACCAAUUGAAGAAAGAGGAGAAAAGUCUUAGAGUGUGGAAAAGGCAACCAGGUUUGCCAUAAGGUGCCUGCUGGAAUGUGUGUGCCUCCACAGGGGUCUGGGCAUCCGGACUGAGCACCAGCCGGCCAGACUGAGGGAUGGAAGGCACUGAGAUGGGGGCCCAUCCGGGCGGACACCCGCAGAAACGGAGUUUUCUGUGGUCUCUUGCACUCUGGCUGCCUCUUGCCCUCUCUGUGUCUCUCUUUCUUGGUCUUUCCCUCUCUCCUCCUCAGCCUGGUCUUUCUCUUUGGUGCACACUUAGUUAUUGUUAUGAGCAAUGGAAGUUCAAAGGAACUCCCUCUCCAGCUCUUCUGAAUCUUGGGACACAGCCUAAAAAGGACAAAAAGUUAGAAGACAGCAUAGCAACUCAGCUCAGGGAGCUACCAGAGAAAAAUAGCAACUGAUGUGGGUGCUUUUUUUUUUUUUUUUAAUUUGAAUAAAAAGAAUUAGAAGUG
rnacentral:sRNA from 1 species